rnacentral:rRNA from 1 species
AUGGGGUGCAAUAGUAGUCUGGCCAUGGUCUCCAUCCUGCAGCUGUGCUUGAUCAUCGGUGCCCCCGCCGCUGGCCCGAGCAAGAUGGUGAGGCUGGUGCCGGCGAUGUACGUGUUCGGGGACUCCACGCUGGACGUGGGCAACAACAACUACCUGCCGGGGCCGAACGUGCCCAGGGCCAACACGCCCCUCAACGGCGUCGACUUCCCCGGCGGCGCCCGGGCGACGGGGCGGUUCAGCAACGGCUACCACGUUGCCGACUUCAUCGCAAUGAGACUGGGACUGAAGGAGAGCCCGCCGGCGUACCUGUCGCUCGCGCCACGCCCCACCGCCCUGCUCCUCAGCGCUCUCGCCACAGGCGUGAGCUAUGCUUCUGCCGGAGCAGGCAUCCUGGACUCAACCAACGCGGGGAACAAUAUCCCACUGUCGAAGCAGGUGCGGUACAUGGAGUCAACCAAGGCCGCCAUGGAGGCCAGGGUGGGCAAAGCCGCGGCGCGCCUCCUGCUCUCGAGGUCCUUCUUCCUCUUCAGCGUCGGCAGCAACGACAUCUCCGUGUUCGCGGCCGCGCCGGGCGACGUCGCCGCGCUCUACGCCAAACUCAUCUCCGGCUACUCCGCGGCCAUCACGGACCUGUACGGCAUGGGCGCGAGGAAGUUCGGGAUCAUCAACGUGGGGCUUCUGGGCUGCGUGCCGGUGGCGCGGGCGCUCAGCGCGACUGGCGCGUGCAACGACGGGCUCAACCAGCUGUCGGCCGGCUUCAACGACAAGCUCAGGUCCCUCAUGGCCGGCCUCGCCGCCCGGCUGCCGGGCCUCGACUACUCCCUCGCCGACAACUACAACCUCUCGCAAGUCACCUUCGCCAACCCGGCGGCAUCCGGUACGUGA